AGAGUUUGAUCCUGGCUCAGGACGAACGCUGGCGGCGUGCCUAAUACAUGCAAGUAGAACGCUGAAGAGAGGAGCUUGCUCUUCUUGGAUGAGUUGCGAACGGGUGAGUAACGCGUAGGUAACCUGCCUUGUAGCGGGGGAUAACUAUUGGAAACGAUAGCUAAUACCGCAUAACAAUGGAUGACACAUGUCAUUUAUUUGAAAGGGGCAAUUGCUCCACUACAAGAUGGACCUGCGUUGUAUUAGCUAGUAGGUGAGGUAAUGGCUCACCUAGGCGACGAUACAUAGCCGACCUGAGAGGGUGAUCGGCCACACUGGGACUGAGACACGGCCCAGACUCCUACGGGAGGCAGCAGUAGGGAAUCUUCGGCAAUGGGGGCAACCCUGACCGAGCAACGCCGCGUGAGUGAAGAAGGUUUUCGGAUCGUAAAGCUCUGUUGUAAGUCAAGAACGGGUGUGAGAGUGGAAAGUUCACACUGUGACGGUAGCUUACCAGAAAGGGACGGCUAACUACGUGCCAGCAGCCGCGGUAAUACGUAGGUCCCGAGCGUUGUCCGGAUUUAUUGGGCGUAAAGCGAGCGCAGGCGGUUUGAUAAGUCUGAAGUUAAAGGCUGUGGCUCAACCAUAGUUCGCUUUGGAAACUGUCAAACUUGAGUGCAGAAGGGGAGAGUGGAAUUCCAUGUGUAGCGGUGAAAUGCGUAGAUAUAUGGAGGAACACCGGUGGCGAAAGCGGCUCUCUGGUCUGUAACUGACGCUGAGGCUCGAAAGCGUGGGGAGCGAACAGGAUUAGAUACCCUGGUAGUCCACGCCGUAAACGAUGAGUGCUAGGUGUUGGAUCCUUUCCGGGAUUCAGUGCCGCAGCUAACGCAUUAAGCACUCCGCCUGGGGAGUACGACCGCAAGGUUGAAACUCAAAGGAAUUGACGGGGGCCCGCACAAGCGGUGGAGCAUGUGGUUUAAUUCGAAGCAACGCGAAGAACCUUACCAGGUCUUGACAUCCCGAUGCUAUUUCUAGAGAUAGAAAGUUACUUCGGUACAUCGGUGACAGGUGGUGCAUGGUUGUCGUCAGCUCGUGUCGUGAGAUGUUGGGUUAAGUCCCGCAACGAGCGCAACCCCUAUUGUUAGUUGCCAUCAUUCAGUUGGGCACUCUAGCGAGACUGCCGGUAAUAAACCGGAGGAAGGUGGGGAUGACGUCAAAUCAUCAUGCCCCUUAUGACCUGGGCUACACACGUGCUACAAUGGUUGGUACAACGAGUUGCGAGUCGGUGACGGCGAGCUAAUCUCUUAAAGCCAAUCUCAGUUCGGAUUGUAGGCUGCAACUCGCCUACAUGAAGUCGGAAUCGCUAGUAAUCGCGGAUCAGCACGCCGCGGUGAAUACGUUCCCGGGCCUUGUACACACCGCCCGUCACACCACGAGAGUUUGUAACACCCGAAGUCGGUGAGGUAACCUUUUGGAGCCAGCCGCCUAAGGUGGGACAGAUGAUUGGGGUGAAGUCGUAACAAGGUAGCCGUAUCGGAAGGUGCGGCUGGAUCACCUCCUUUCU
rnacentral:rRNA from 1 species